UACUUCUCACACUUCUGAUCUUUUGGGUCGGGAGCGGUGGACUUGGGUGUUGCUGCUUUACUGUGGCUCACCUCAAAUGCAUUAGUGCAACUCUUGGUUGGACAUAGUACGGCGUGAUAAGUAUCUUCGCCGGCACCUCGCAAGAGGGUGGCUGAUCAGGAGCUCUGUGCUUUCCAACUGUCUUCAGACAACAACUGACA
rnacentral:misc_RNA from 1 species